ACAUGACUGGACAGUAAUCAAGAUAAGAACAAACUAGAACCUGCAGAACUUGCUUUGUGGAGUUUGGUGUCAAAAAAUAUAUAUAUAUUUUUUUUACUGAUGAUUUUUGAGAGCGGUUGUAACCAAGGUUUCCAGAAGGGGAAGAAGUGGUGAAAUAAAGAAUUGAAGUACACAACAUGACCAAAGAUACGUGGACACCUGCUUGUCGAUCAUCUCAUUCCAAAAUCAUGGGCGUUAAUAUGGAGUUGGUCCCCCCCCGCUUGACAAAUCAAAUGACAAAACACUCAGCCCUCCAAGACUCAGGUCAGUCAAGAUGUUCCAUGACAUACUUUAGAAGAGAAGUAGGACACACCUCCGGUAAAUAAACUUACAUGGACUCUUGCACCCAGCAGGCCUUCAUGAGAAAUUACAUUUAGGUUAAUGACAUCACAAUGACAGGGAAUGACAUCAUAAUGACAGGGAAUGACAUCAUAAUGACAGGUAAUGACAUCACAAUGACAUCAUAAUGACAGGUAAUGACAUAAUGACAGGUAAUGACAUCAUAAUGACAGGUAAUGAC
ensembl:lncRNA